CAACACUCCCAUGCUCUCUUUCCCCCCUCAUCGCCUCCCUUUUUCUUUCUCUUCUCUCGACAUCUCUUUUCCUGCUAUUCUCUCCCCUUUCCCUCUUCUCCCCACAACACUACCAGCUCUCUCCUCUGUUCUCUUCCUUUCUUUUCUAUCCCUCUAGCUCUUUCCCCACUAUCCCUGGUCCAAAUCACAUUGCAGCUACCUUUGUCCUCCCUCCUCUCCUUUCUUAAGAGAGGGAAGGAGGAUUAGAGAGGAGAAAGGAUGGAGAGGGAAGUGGUUGUAAGUUAAGAAAACAAUAAAAAAGAGAAAGAAAUGGCAAAACAAAUCUAGACCAAAUCUAGUCUAGGUCGAUAUUAUGAGGUGGCAAGAUGGGUAAAAGAGGGAGGAGAAUAGGGAGGAAAAGUCAUAAAGGGCGUAGGAAAGAGGAAAAUGUAGCCAGUUUUGAGGGACGAGUUGUCAUGGCAGGUGG
rnacentral:lncRNA from 1 species